rnacentral:rRNA from 1 species
UGGGGAAUCUUGCGCAAUGGCCGAAAGGCUGACGCAGCGACGCCGCGUGGGGGAUGACGCAUUUCGGUGUGUAAACCCCUGUUGCCCGGGACGAACACCUCCUUUUGGGGAGGGCUGACGGUACCGGGUGAGGAAGCACCGGCUAACUCCGUGCCAGCAGCCGCGGUAAUACGGAGGGUGCGAGCGUUGUCCGGAAUCACUGGGCGUAAAGGGCGCGUAGGCGGCUACUUAAGCGUGUGGUGAAAGUCCGGGGCUCAACCCCGGAUCGGCCGUGCGAACUGAGUGGCUUGAGCACUGUAGAGGCAGGUGGAAUUCCGGGUGUAGCGGUGGAAUGCGUAGAGAUCCGGAAGAACACCGGUUGGCGAAGGCGGCCUGCUGGGCAGUGGCUGACGCUGAGGCGCGACAGCGUGGGGAGCAAAAC